rnacentral:rRNA from 1 species
GGAAUAUUGGACAAUGGUCGGAAGACUGAUCCAGCCAUGCCGCGUGCAGGAAGACGGUCCUAUGGAUUGUAAACUGCUUUUGUACGGGAGCAAUAAGGGCUACGUGUAGUCCGAUGAGAGUACCGUACGAAUAAGCAUCGGCUAACUCCGUGCCAGCAGCCGCGGUAAUACGGAGGAUGCGAGCGUUAUCCGGAUUUAUUGGGUUUAAAGGGAGCGUAGGCGGGUGCUUAAGCGUGAGGUGAAAGCUCGGAGCUCAACUCCGGAACUGCCUCGCGAACUGGGUGCCUUGAAUGUCCGUGCCGUGGGAGGAAUGUGUGGUGUAGCGGUGAAAUGCAUAGAGAUCACACAGAACACCGAUUGCGAAGGCAUCUCACGAACGGAUGAUUGACGCUGAGGCACGAAAGCGUGGGGAUCAAACA